AGGCACAGGAGAAAUCAAUAAAGGGCCUUGCCCCACAGAGCUCUCCUCUAGUGGAGGAGCCAAUUAACUUCCAACCUUAUCACCACUCAUUCCUUCAUUCCCGCAAAUACUGAGCGCCUGCAAAAUGCUCUGCACUAUUCUGGAUGCGGGAGAUGAAAACUACCCUGGUUCUUGUCCAGUGGGGUAAAUAGGAAGCUGCAAUGGAGUUCCCAUCGUGGUUCAGCGGAAAUGAAUCUGACCAGCAUCCAUGAGGACAUGGCUUUAAUCCCUGGCCUCGCUUAGUGGGUUAAGGAUUUGGCAUUGUGGUGAGCUGUGGUGUAGGUCACAGACGCAGCUCGGAUUCCGCGUUGCUGUGGCUGUGGCGUAUGAUGGCAACUGUAGCUCUGAUUCGACCCCUAGCCUGGGAACCUCCAUAUGCCAUGGGUGUGCCUACCAUCUCUUGUGCCCUCGGGGCCAUGGGAGCUGCUUGCGUGCAUGCCUGAGAGUCCUUCUUGCCGUGGGAACCGAGGAAUCACUCAGGCCCCAGGCUGCCAGGUGGGGAAACUGAGGCCCAGACAGAGUGCAUCUUGUCCAGAGGAUCUGGUCAGCAGCUCACCAGGCGUGAACCCUCUGAGUCACCCUGCUGGGUGUGGAGGACAGGCACAAUGGAAGAAGAGCCCCUCUCCCUCCACAUCAGAAGGCUACUAGUCUGAUGGUGGAGGCUCUGGACCCACCAGGAGUGAAGGAUUUCUGGCUGAGCCUGGAGCUGGAUCCUUCUCUCUCUCAUCUUUCCUGGCCCAGGCCCUGGGUUCUGACCAUCCUUGGACUGGCUUCCUGCACUCACUCACUCACUUGGUCACUGCUCCAGCCAGGCCACACCAAGGACACAGAGAUGAAUGAGGACAGGGCCCUGGACUCUUGUGGAAACACUGGAGGUCAAAUUAGGGAGUAUAUGUCUGAGCUGAAAAGGGGGCCUCUGCCACCAUGGAAGUGCUCCACCCCCAAGGCUAUCGUGAACAAAGGCCCCCUUUGAUGGAACCUGGGCCUUUUGCAGGUAAUCCAAGCACUUCUGGGGAGCUCACCUUUCCCUAGCUGUGGAUGAACAAAUCAGAACAUUGUGAGAAGUCAGAUGUCUUCUUCCUUUUGAGGACUGCACACAAGGGAUCCCCCUUCACCCACCUGGGUUUGGCCCACAAGGCUGGGUCCCUUCCUCCAUGUUCCCUUCACGUGUUCCAAGAUUUGGAUCAUACAGUAAAGGAGAGAUGAAAGAGCAGUGAAAGAUGUACCCAUCCAUGACGGAGGAAACUGACCUGGGCCUGGUCCCAGGACUUGCUGACACAUGCUACAACGUGGAUGAACCUUGAAAAUGUCAUGUUAGGUGAAGAAGCCAGUCAUAAAAGACCUCUUAGAGGUCAGAGUUCCUGUCGUGGCUCAGUGGUUAACGAAUCCAGCUAGGAACCACGAGGUUGCGAGUUUGAUCCCCGGCCUUGCUCAGUGGGUUAAGGAUCCAGUGUUGCCGUGAGCUGUGGUGUAGGUCACAGACGCGGCUCGGAUCCUGAGUUGCUGUGGCUGUGGUGUAGGCCAGUGGCUACAGCUCCAAAUACACCUCUAGCCUGGGAACUUCCAUAUGCCGUGGGUGCAGCCCUAGAAAAAGGCAAAAAGACAAAAAAAAAAAAA
rnacentral:lncRNA from 1 species